rnacentral:tRNA from 1 species
CCUGGUGGCUGAGUGGGAAAGAAUGUGCCUGUAAUGCAGGAGGUGAGGGUUCAAUCCCUCAGCCAGGA